rnacentral:rRNA from 1 species
AAUGAACGUUGGCGGCAUGGAUUAGGCAUGCAAGUCGGGGGAAUCCCAGCAAUGGGGGAACCGGCGUAAGGGGCAGUAAGGCAUGGGUACCUACCUUGGGGUUCGGGAUAGCCAUCAGAGAUGGUGGGUAAUACCGGAUGACGUCGGGAGACCAAAGAUUUAUCGCCCUUAGAGGGGCCCAUGUGAUAUUAGCUAGUUGGUGGGGUAACGGCCCACCAAGGCGAAGAUGUCUAGCGGGUGUGAGAGCACGACCCGCGCCACUCGCACUGAGACACUGGCGAGACACCUACGGGUGGCUGCAGUCGAGGAUCUUCGGCAAUGAGCGCAAGCUUGACCGAGCGAUGCCGCGUGAGCGAUGAAGGCCUUCGGGUUGUAAAGCCCUUUAGUGGGGGAGAAAAGCCGCAAGGUGUGAUCUAUCCCAAAAAUAAGCACGGGCUAAGUUCGUGCCAGCCGCCGCAGUAA